UUUUGGACAAUGGGCGCAAGCCUGAUCCAGCCAUGCCGCGUGUGUGAAGAAGGUCUUCGGAUUGUAAAGCACUUUAAGUUGGGAGGAAGGGCAGUUACCUAAUACGUGAUCGUUUUGACGUUACCGACAGAAUAAGCACCGGCUAACUCUGUGCCAGCAGCCGCGGUAAUACAGAGGGUGCAAGCGUUAAUCGGAAUUACUGGGCGUAAAGCGCGCGUAGGUGGUUAGUUAAGUUGGAUGUGAAAUCCCCGGGCUCAACCUGGGAACUGCAUUCAAAACUGACUGACUAGAGUAUGGUAGAGGGUGGUGGAAUUUCCUGUGUAGCGGUGAAAUGCGUAGAUAUAGGAAGGAACACCAGUGGCGAAGGCGACCACCUGGACUAUACGACACUGAGGUGCGAAA
rnacentral:rRNA from 1 species